ACAACAUCUGGACCGUCGGUCUAUCGAGUAAUAUCAUCGCUCGGUGGAAGAUCUUGCCCUCCAUCGU
rnacentral:pre_miRNA from 1 species